UUGAUUUUCUUAUACAUUUUUGUUCUUAGAUUUUCCUUUCCCAAACUGCAACUUCUCUACUAAUCCUGACAUGUACAAAAACUAAUACAACAUUUGUAACAAGGGUCUGGAACCCUUGGAGAGAUAACAGAAUAAAAUGGAAAGGCUAAGAGGAAUAUAUAAAAUGCAGGAAACAUACAGAAAACACUCAUGAAAAAAAGAAAGAAAGAAAACCCUGGUGAUGCUGAAAUUCAACAUGAGACAAGAGCAAUAACUCUUUAUCAAAACUUACCUCCAAGGGGUAAAUAAGGGAUUGUGCAGUAGCACCAGCCAAAGAAGCAGAAGCAAAUUGCUCAAAAGCUUUUAAAGUGACUCCUCCAGAAGAAAGAAACAUCUUAUACUGUAUUAAUAAGAGUUCAAAGUUGUUCAGCCAAAACUACAGAGACUUGGCCACCAGGCUUAGAUAAUACCCACAUUGCCUACACUGUCUUCAAAGGGACCACAACAGCUCUAGAACCCCAAACUUUUCAGACAAUUGAAGAAUUCCAUGUACAGAGCUCUGUAUUUGAUAAAGAAUAAAGAGGGAGAGCAACUCUUUGACCAGCCUCUGAUUCUUGGUGUCGUAAUUUCCAACCCGUGGAGAGAAUCCGAGUAUUGUCUAUCAUCUUCCCCCACCUCACAAAAAAGG